GGGAAAAUCCAGAAGGUGAUGGGCAUGCGGCGACGAGGAGGCCCUGCGCUGGGCCGCGCUCGAGAAGCGCCACCCCCCCCCCCCCCCCUACGACCGCGUCCGCCGCGCCGUCGUGCCCAGCGACAUCGGCCUCGACUGCGGCGGCGCCGAGGCGGACGUGGGCAGCGGGAAGGGGUUCGUCGACGUUGACGUGCUCAGCCUCGGCGCGCAGCAGCGCCGGGCGCUGCUGGAGCGCGUCGUGCGCGACGCCGACGAGGACAAUGAGCGAUUCCUACUCAAGCUCAAGGAUCGCAUCGAGAGGGUCGGGAUUGACGUGCCCACCAUCGAGGUGCAGGUGCGGUUGCACAACCUCGAGGCAGAGGCGGAGGUGCGCGUUGGGAGCAGCGGCCUCCCCACCGUCCUCAACUCCAUCGUCAACACGCGAACGCGCUGCACCUGCUGCCCAGCAGGAAGAGGCCCAUGCCCAUUCUCCACGACGUCAGUGGCAUCAUCAAGCCUCGCAGGUAUACCCCCUCCACCCUGAAUUAUUGGUCACCCUAGUUUUAUCCUAAGUUAAACUUCCCUAGUCUUAGUAAAGUUUGUUGAAAAAAAAAAUCAUCGACAUGUACAACGUCAGAUUGGUUUGAUUAAACUUACCAUAUGUUGUAUUAGUGCAACUAUUUUGUAUUGUGCAUAUUAAUUUAUUUUUCUAUAUUUUCUUGAAGUUAGAGAAGUUUGAUUGAAGACAAAAUAAAAGUGACCAAUAAUUUGAAAGAGAUGGAGUAUAAACAAGGUUUUAAAAAACGCUAGACGCUAGGUGAACGCUAGCCUAUGGUUUAGAGUUUUUUGUGAUUAAACGUAGAUUAAACGUCUUUUGUGAUUAAACGACACUGUGAUUAAACGCAACGCUAGGCCAAAGUUUAGAGUUUAAUCAAGAUUAAACGUAGUUUUAAAACGUUUUUUAAAACAGGGAGUAUAAAUAAAGUGAUUUCUGUUCACUGCUUUUUUGUGCUAAAGAAAGGCAAGUUGGUUUUCUGUCCUAAAAAGAAGUCCAGUUGGUCCUUAGGCUAUUCCCAGUACAUGAUUUUAUUGUACGAUUUCAUAGAAUACCAUGCCUACAUUUGAGUUCACAAAUGAAACAGGGUCCCCAAUGCAAAGUUUCAUUUCUAGAUUUCAUAGACUAGCCAUAGCAUUUAAUUGUGAGAUAUGAUUGGGUGCAAUUGCAUGAAAUGAAAUCUAUAGUCGCCAAUGCAAGUUUCAACAAGUUUCAUAAUCUUGGAAACAGUGUAUACACAGUUUCAUCCUGAUGAAACUCAUUCUCUCUCUAUAAGUUUGCAGGAGCACUGGUCAUUUAAGCUGGGGAAGCAAGCAUAGUGUCGUACAAAGUUUUUUUUUUGAAAAGAAACAGUAGGGAAACCACCACCAUGGUAAAUAUAUUAAUAGGAGAAAACAAAAUAAAAUAAUAAAGAUACAGAGCCCGGGAAGGGCAUCAUCAGCACAAGAGUGCCCCCACCGAAGAGAAAAACUGAAAAGAAAAAACUGUACAUCAAAUAUACAGAGUUUAUCCAAUCUAAGAAAACUUGUUUGCUGCUAUCUUUUAGUCUCUGUGCUAGUAGAAUAGCUUCUUCUACAAACUGAGAUGUCCAGGCUCGAAGAGAAGGCCUUCUUCCUUCAAAAAUAAAGUUAUAUCUUUGCUUCCCGAUUUCCCAUGCAGCAAUGAUAAAAGUUUUCGUGAAGAAGUUGUUGCUGUUUUGCCUUGCAUCUUUCAUUAUAUUAUAGAAAGGAAAAUUAAAAUUCCAUAGCACUCCGAUCUUUUCCCAACAAGCUCUGCUAAAGGUGCAAGUAUAGAAGAGAUGCAGGGCAGUUUCUUCCAGAUUUUCCCUACAGAGCACACAAUUGUAGUUUCCAUUUUCAAUUUGAAAGUUUCUUCUUCUCAUCAGAUUUCUUGUGUUAAGCUUAUCCAUUAGAAGAAGCCAUGGGAAAAAAACCUUCAGCUUGUUGCUACACUUAGAGUUCCAGAUCCACUGGAAUGGUGGGGGAGUUUUGAUGUUUUUGUAGGGCAGGUUGUAGAACUUCUUGGAUGUAUACCUGUCUACCCCCCAAACGUAGUCCCAUUUAUCCUUUUCAUUCUCUUGAACCAGUAGAUUUUGAAUCAAGUUUUGAAGUUCCUGAUAUUCUUGAAAUGCUUCAGUGGACAAAUGAGUGUGAAACUAAUCUUCAAUUAUAUUGUUUCGGAGGAAUUCAGCCACUGAGAUGUCUUGAUUCUUGGCAAAGGAUAAGAGUCGAGGAAAGGCUUCAUCUAGAUGGUUAUUGUUGCAUACAUCUAUCCAUAAUAGUACACUUCAGCCAUUUCCAACUGUGCAGGUUGCAAUGCCUCUAAACAUGUCACAAAGUCUCAUAAUGUCCUUCCACCAAAAUGAACCCUUAUAUGUAGAAACAUGUGGGAUUUCUUCAUUAGGGUAGUAGGUGUUCCAUAUUAAUCUUACCCCGGGGAUGUUCUUGUUAAAACUUGUCUAAAUGUUUGAGAAGUAAAGCACAGUUCUGAUUGCUAA